GUGGGGAAUAUUGGACAAUGGGCGAAAGCCUGAUCCAGCCAUGCCGCGUGAGUGAUGAAGGCCCUAGGGUUGUAAAGCUCUUUCGGCGGGGACGAUAAUGACGGUACCCGCAGAAGAAGCCCCGGCUAACUUCGUGCCAGCAGCCGCGGUAAUACGAAGGGGGCUAGCGUUGCUCGGAAUCACUGGGCGUAAAGGGCGCGUAGGCGGACGUUUAAGUCGGGGGUGAAAUCCUGAGGCUCAACCUCAGAAUUGCCUUCGAUACUGGGCGUCUCGAGACCGGAAGAGGUGAGUGGAACUGCGAGUGUAGAGGUGAAAUUCGUAGAUAUUCGCAAGAACACCAGUGGCGAAGGCGGCUCACUGGUCCGGUUCUGACGCUGAGGCGCGAAAGCGUGGGGAGCAAACAGGAUUAGAAACCCUGGUAGUCC
rnacentral:rRNA from 1 species